CGAAGGCAGCUUACUAACCUGUAACUGACAUUGAUGCUCGAAAGUGUGGGUAUCAAACAGGAUUAGAUACCCUGGUAGUCCACACGGUAAACGAUGAAUACUCGCUGUUUGCGAUAUACGGCAAGCGGCCAAGCGAAAGCGUUAAGUAUUCCACCUGGGGAGUACGCCGGCAACGGUGAAACUCAAAGGAAUUGACGGGGGCCCGCACAAGCGGAGGAACAUGUGGUUUAAUUCGAUGAUACGCGAGGAACCUUACCCGGGCUUGAAUUGCAACUGAAUGAUGUGGAGACAUGUCAGCCGCAAGGCAGUUGUGAAGGUGCUGCAUGGUUGUCGUCAGCUCGUGCCGUGAGGUGUCGGCUUAAGUGCCAUAACGAGCGCAACCCUUGCCGAUAGUUACUAACAGGUUAUGCUGAGGACUCUGUCGGGACUGCCAUCGUAAGAUGUGAGGAAGGUGGGGAUGACGUCAAAUCAGCACGGCCCUUACGUCCGGGGCUACACACGUGUUACAAUGGGGGGUACAGAGGGCCGCUACCACGCGAGUGGAUGCCAAUCCCUAAAACCCCUCUCAGUUCGGACUGGAGUCUGCAACCCGACUCCACGAAGCUGGAUUCGCUAGUAAUCGCGCAUCAGCCACGGCGCGGUGAAUACGUUCCCGGGCCUUGUACACACCGCCCGUCAAGCCAUGGGAGCCGGGGGUACCUGAAGUGCGUAACCGCGAGGAUCGCCCUAGGGUAAAACUGGUGACGGGGGCUAAGU
rnacentral:rRNA from 1 species